rnacentral:rRNA from 1 species
GAUGAACGCUGGCGGCGUGCCUAAUACAUGCAAGUCGUGCGAACGGACGAGAAGCUUGCUUUUCUGAUGUUAGCGGCGGACGGGUGAGUAACACGUGGAUAACCUACCUAUAAGACUGGGAUAACUUCGGGAAACCGGAGCUAAUACCGGAUAAUAUUUUGAACCGCAUGGUUCAAAAGUGAAAGACGGUCUUGCUGUCACUUAUAGAUGGAUCCGCGCUGCAUUAGCUAGUUGGUAAGGUAACGGCUUACCAAGGCAACGAUUCAUAGCCGACCUGAGAGGGUGAUCGGCCACACUGGAACUGAGACACGGUCCAGACUCCUACGGGAGGCAGCAGUAGGGAAUCUUCCGCAAUGGGCGAAAGCCUGACGGAGCAACGCCGCGUGAGUGAUGAAGGUCUUCGGAUCGUAAAACUCUGUUAUUAGGGAAGAACAUAUGUGUAAGUAACUGUGCACAUCUUGACGGUACCUAAUCAGAAAGCCACGGCUAACUACGUG